CUCGGGCGUUGUGCCCAGGAGGAAGGAAGACCUCUGGUCUAGCUUGAUUUGUCCCCUCACACUAGGAGGGGGCUGUGGUGUUUGUAUGGGAACGGUGUAGAUUUACAGCAGUAGUGGUGUGUUUGUGUUCUCGUGUAAGUAUUUGUGGCUACAAGACAAUGUCCCUGCUGAAGUGCAGGCAGAGUAGAUGCUGCUGUUCGAAAUUAAAGCCCAGAGUAAUGAAGUCGUGGCAGAUGGAGUUUAAUUACAAAAUUCAUUCAGCACACGUGCGAAAGCUGAGGCAUAGUUCAUAGACAAAGUGUUUAUUUCAGUUUUGCCUUUACUGCAGCCCUUCAAACUUAUCUGAGUGUUAUCUCUAAUCCACCUGUGGGCAGCCUUCUGGGAACAGGUUACUGAAGACACAAGACACGGAACAGGCUGGUACCACCCAGCCUGACACCUUGGGAAUUAUGAUACAAAUUAAUGCUUGCUCGGGGAGAGGACCCAGCUUUCUCACGCAGGUUAUCAAGCAACCUUCACACUAACCUUUGUUGAUCUUGUGUGCAUUUAUGCAGAUAGUUUGUUGAUAAAAUAACCAUUGUUUUGAUCUUCCUUCUUGAAGAAGUUUCCUUAGGACUAGUUCCUUUAAUCAGAGCAUUUAUUUGUAGGGAUAGAAAGGACUUCAAACACAGAGUCUCGCAGGUACACUGGAGAAAGUCUGCAGAUCCUGAUUAUCCUCAAAUUUCCUGCCAGAUUUCUCCCAGCUGGUACUGCAGCACUCAUCCCAUGACCCAGCAUAUGCUUCUCCCUUGGACACCCAUUACUUCUUUCCUGAAGCGCAAUCUGAGCAAUCUCUGCAUCUGUGGAUUUCAGUUUGGACAUGUAAGGCCAUUUGGAUAAUUUUUUAUGGCUUACAGCGAGGGAGUGGUGAUCUCUGUGCUAAAUGGGAUAGGGUUUUGAACUAUUUGGAACAGAUGGAGAGAACAUUGGACUGUUGAGAUAAGAAUGGGAAGUUUCUAUUCAGAUGGAUUAGACCUUUAUAAUCUAAACUGCUUUUUCUGUCUCCCACUGUGCCCAGCAUACAGGUAAAUAUUUACAUUACGUAUCCUAGUCAUAUGCACUCAUUUAACAAGCCAAAUAAUUAAA